UUUCCUUUACUUGUGAAUACAAUUGUUUCCAAAGUACAUAAUAAGCUUCACCGACUAUAUAUCUUCCAUUAUGCUCCGGCUAUCGGUUAUACUCAACUAUUCUUAACUGGAAAUUGAAAACCUAUAAUAAGGAUCCUUUCGACUAAUGUUACCAUAGAAGUAAUUCAAAAACGCGCGCGCUACGGCUCUCGCUCUCGGCGCGUUCGAUUCUCACGUAGUGCCCAUAGUGCGUCCAUUCUAUCGACCAUAUGUUCCGUGAAGUGCUGCUGUAGUGGUACAGUGAAAGUGUUGAAGUGUCGAAUCAAACACUUCCCAUUUUUGCAACGUGAUUUUUCCAGUGCAGAUUUGUACAGAUGUAAGCGAUAGAGCCCCACAAGUGUAUAGUUGGCCACGUGAGUGGGCCAAACACCCGCUCCGGAACUUGUUUUUGUAGAACAAGGGACUAAAAUUGUCAGCCCUCUCAUGAUUGCAAAAAGCACUACUGCUUUAUUCCUCUAUAUUAUUCUUUCUCUUACUUCUUACUCAGUGGUUCACAGUUUUCCAUUGUUGACCGCAUUCAUCAUUUUGGCCAGUUGCAAAAAAGCUAGUGAGUAUUGUGUAUAUAUUGUAAAAUUGUCCAUUUUAUCCCAAAACUGCACAUCAACAUUUGUUGUGAUCAAUAGAACUCAGAACGAUACUCCGAUUUAUCUCCAGCCCUGCAAGAUUAGUGGGUGGUCUGAUUUCACAUCGAUUAGCUUGGUUAGUAGUAUUUGCUUACCAGCGCCAAUGCCAUAAACGAAUUUGAAUCGAGCUCAAUAAAAGUGACGGAACUGGCCAUGCUCAAACGAUCCAAUGAGGUGAAGAAAAAAAUAGGUGAACUACCUGGCAGAAAGCUUCCUUCAAUCGAAGCAGCUCUAUUGUGCGUAAAAGUACAUAAUCAUCAUCAUCAUCAGGUGCGGUAAUGCGGAGCCAAAAAUAGUAUCCUCUUUGUCAGCAUUGGUGCUCACACAUUUAGUUUGAAUAGAUUUGCCUGCAAUGAAAGAAGAUUACGAGUAUAUAAGGUCAUCGAAUUUAUCAUCUCAACGGUAUCAAUAGAAGAAAUCGAAAUUCUCACGUCGCUGUCUGCAGUGAAUAGUCGAUUACAUAACGCUAGUGACUACAAGCUGAUCUCGUUGCUGACGAAAUCCCAUCAUAUCUAAUCAAUUCAAAUUAUGGGACAGACUCUGUAACCGAACUAGAUGAACAACAUCGUAUAGUCAUUAAACCAAAUCAUCGUGCUUUCAAAAAAACGACCGAAUACUGGAUAGUUCAGGUGUGAAUAAUUUAGUUAUUUGUUGAUCGGUGGGAGGCUCGGAGAACCUCUGCUCAUAGCAGCAAUGAAUCAACCCAGCAUCGGCGACAAACUGGCUCUCACCGGAAAGGUGACGGAAUUAAAGCUGGGUAAAAGCUUCGAUUCGGGAGUGAAUCAAAUGAAUCCAGCCUUUCAUACUUUCCGAUACGAUUUCAAGCCGGCUUCUGUGGAUCCGACACAGAUGGCCCGCGUUGACGUUGAGCAGCGAAAUCAAGUAUCUGUAACUGUGCCUCACCACGAUUCCAACGCAUCCACCGUUUUUCGAGGGGGUCAGCGUCCAUACCAAAAAGAAUGCGUCCUUAUCAUAGACCAUCGAACUGGUGAAGUUACUCUGGAAAAGUUAAGCUGCAAUGUUCAACUUAAGAAGACUCGUGCUGAAGGUUCGUCAAAGGUAUCUCUCAGCGCGCAACUUGGAGGCGCAGGUCCUGCAAGCCAUGGUAGACCUCUUACUCCAAGUACAGCUGGACAACAGCAAAGUGGGCAGCUAUUAUCGGGCGGUCAAAGCAACGAUGGAGUCGAUCAGUUAAAUUGCAAAAUGAAGCGGCCUUCGCCUCCAAUGCCUCCGCAAAGAGCCCAUAUGAGCUCCCCGGUUAAUAGUGGGACUGGCAAGCAACGAAUCAGUCCUGCCGCCGGAUCUGCAAGUAGUAGUAACGUGACGAGUUUACAACAGUCAGUCGGAUCUUCUUCAAAGCAGGGUAAUAAAGGUGGAAGUCCAGGAAGUACGAAUUCUAUUUCGGCUCGCCGACCACCAUCUACGUUGUCUUCUAAUUCCAUGCCAAUGUUCUUUGAUGAUACGGGCAGGUUUGAUGAUGUCGGUGGUCAGCAGCCACCAACGGCAAAUCAAGGAUCAGGUGGUCACGGCCUUUAUGGUGGUCGAUCGGGUGGUGGAUCGUUCCAGUCAUCAAUGCCAUUACCACCUGACUCGAAUACGGAGGUGGUAGAAAUGUCAGAAGGUUCCUCAUCUUCAUCAUCCUCAUCAGGAAGUUCGUCAGAAGCUUCCGAUUCUGAAAGUGAAUCAGACACCCACGCCGCUAAAAGGCUUUCUAAUAGUGCAAGCGUUGUGCCUUCGGUGCCGACGUUGCCUACAACAAGUAGUAGCAGUGGGGGAUAUGGAAAUCAUUCCGGUGGAAGUCAUUCUACAUCUCAUGCAUCACAUCCGCCUCCAAGUGCUACCACUCCGAAGGGAUCGAUGCCAAAACUCAGUCAACUUAGUAAAUGUCAACUUAGUGAGGACCUUCAACUCAGUGAGUCUGGAAGUGAUUCAGACUAGGCCCGCCAAUGUUCGACGAAUUGUGGAUAUUCAAUAGUACGCUUCAAUAGUAAACAGUGGCGCUUCACGAGCGCUCGCCAUAAAGUUUUUUCUGUCGUUAGACCAACGAACUGCGAAUUCCUUAAGUUUGUUCAGAGCGCCGCUUCAACCAAUAAAACUAAGCAUCUACAAAUAAAGUAUAUUUGUAUCAACUCAACUGUGUGCGGCUUGUGUGCCAGUUUGACUGCUGCUGCUGUUCAACACUUUGUCGUUGACUUGAUAAAUAUAAAAGCAUAACGGCCCGCUGUUUUGUGUUGGGAACCUCCGCCCUAUUCCAAUUCCCUUCGGAUUUUGUAUACAAUCAACAGUGCGCAUAAGUCGAUGUGAAAUGCCUCUUGCAAAAGGCGGCAAUAGGUGUUUCCUGUUUUUUAAAUCUUACUGCACAGUUCAAAUGCUUCCUCUGCUACUACUACUUGUUUCUGGUAGUAACUCCGGUUGAUUUGACGGCGGGCGUGGCCCGCUUAGACUAGCUCGGCUUUCCUGCAUUCCGUCAAAUGAAUUCGUCCUUUUUACUGUGGCGCAGCAAAAAUUGCGUUCAUCUGACCGCUAUGCUGCGCCCUUCAAUACACUAUUCGGGAGGCGGCUGCUGCUGUUUGGGGACAUACCGUACACGUCGUCCGAAUGCGCUAUGAUCGAUCGGCCCGCAUCGCAUAUCCGUACAGGAUGAAGAUAAUUCGUGCGAUUUUCAGAAACGGUGUCCCGAGGACUGUCCCGCUUGGGCUCGCCAUGACGAUUCGUUAGAAGGUGACACAUCCGCUUUUCGAAUGUCGCUGAUGGAUCAGGCCGUCUAAAGCCUCGUCGCGGAUCUGUAAUAAUGGUGCCAUAUAUCCUCCAAACUACGAUGCAUUGCAGACGCAGCCCGUAGGGGCAAUAAACGAACGAAAUUAGCAACAAUAUACGUUAUGAAGAUUGAGCCUACCCAAAUAAAAAGUGCAAAUUCUUCCACGACCUUUAAGUGUUAUGCAAUAGAGCAUAAAAGGUAGGUUAAAGAAAUCAGCUUUGAUCAAAUUAACACAGUUUAGGCGCACUUUAUCUGAACUUAGGUAUAAAACUAUUAUGGAUGGAAGUAUUAGCUUGGCCUUAACUCUUACAGAAAUUAAUAAUUUUUUUAUAAUUAAUAUCACAUAGUUUGGCAUUGCACGAAAACCAACUGCUUCAGUAUCUCCAAGAUAUUUAGAGAGAAAGAAAGAGAACCAUCUUUGCUAGCGAAUCUGCUGAUACAACGACAUUUUACGAUGGCACAUAUGGUAGUUUUCUGAACUAGGUACGCUUUAGAUGAGUUUAAAUGUAGAACAAUAUAUAAUAAUAAUAAUAAUGUAAUUAAUAUUACAUCACAUUUAGGAUCAUGCACGUUCAGUUGCGCAGCGACGGGGUUGCCCCCCACUUUAGGUACCGAAAGAAGCGCCUAAUGUUCGGAUAUUAGUCCAUUAUUAUCCGUUUAGCGGCCGUCAGCUGUAAAGGAGGGCUUGUAAAGGGCACCCCAUUUCCUAGAAAUAAUGGUUUCGUUCUUGAAGGCAGAGCAUUCCAAUAAAAAAGGUUUCUGCUAUUUGGUCUAGCCCUUGACCAUGCAGCGUUUGUAGGUGAGGAAGACUCCACCCAGCAAUCAGCUGAGAGGAAAAACCUCUCGACCUUUCCAUCGCAGGAGAAGGAAUCUCGGGCGUCAAUCUAUGCGAGGCAAAGGGCUACUUGGUAUUGUCACCGCCCAGCUUACGUUUUCAUACAUCGUUCGCUUGCUUUUUCGCCUCAGUUUUUAUUCAGCUUCCUCCCAAGAAAGGAGCAAUUCUUCUGACGCGUUUAGUAGCUCGACCAAAGGAAGAGCCACGAUUCAACCAUUUACAUCCUCUACGAGCGAGAGAAAUUGAAGCAUCACUGAUAAAACAACAGACGCCCAAGUAACCCGCUUGCGGGAAUAGAGCGUAUUUGCAACGUAAGCCGAUCAUAUGCUUGACCGCCUUGGACCUAAUUUAUAGCAAAACGAUGACUAUGGCCGGCCAACUACCGAGUGGCGUAGAAUCACUAAUUCGUAGCAGCGCAGGCAGCUGAGCAAAAUACUUUUAAGCCUUGAUAGCCGAAUGAUUCGAAAAGAGAUGAUGCCAUCAUAGCAGUUAAUGGUGGUGUUGGUGAUGAUGACGGUGAUAAUAUUACGCGAUGCAGCACACCGUUUGUGAAGUGCCACGAUUUCUGAUUGAGCUUAUAGAGCUUGUUCGAGACGAACGCUUUACGUGAGCUUCGCUUCUGGCUUAGAUCAGUGUAGCUAACAACAGGGGUCAUCGAUGGUUACCGCAGCUUCGACACUUGCUUACUUGAAGGUUCAUUAAGACAUAGAAUAGAGCCGACGUACACAUACAUACACAUAAGUGCAUACAAUCCGACUCUGCCUUUACGUCGCACAUCAACAACGAGUGAAGUUUCACACCCGAAAUCGCCCCAACGACCUUUAAUACGAUAAACGGAGCCGAGCUAACUCUGUUGCUCAACUGCAAAGAAGUUUUUCUCUGAUGUGUCACUAUGGUGUCAACUAUCGCAGGAAAAUGUAUCGUGAUGGUCUUAAGCAGCAGGUUACUGGUGAACCAUAAUAAAACUAGCGACAUAUUGAAGAUGUUCAGAGACCGCUAUAAAAUCAAUUGAGUGCCAACUCCGUUACUUUCACUCUACUUGACAAUUCGUUUGUACACUGGUUUGUAGCAUUUUCGAAAACUGCAGUGUCACAGUCCGCCGAGUGUAUAUGCACGUAAAAAUGCACGCGCAUACAGCUCUGAUUCGAUAAGUAGCAGGAAUAGCUUCGACUAGUACAAAACGAUACUCAAUGUAAUCGAAUGAUAACUCGUAGUUUGACUUAUCGCAUACUGAAUUAUCCGUCGUUAUUGAACGCGCUAAAGCGUUGGAAGCGUCUUUUCCAUGACGCGCACUGUUCCACAUAUAUACGAAUCAUUGAAAAAGAUCUAUAUAGAAAUUCGUUGCGUUCUCAUUUGACUGGCGAUCGAUUUUAGAUUAAAACGGGAUCGCUUAGAAUGCUCGGCUUUUUGAAAGAAAAUAUCAGUCAGCUUAUCGAAAAUAGCAACUUUAAUGUUACUCUAAGGUACAGAAUUGUAGAUAGUCUAUACAUUCUAUAAUUUCUACAUAGAUCUAUAUAUUAAGUACUGCAUACACUAUAUAUCUACUCAUAGGUAUACUUGACAUAUGUAUAUUUGAAACAAAGCCAUAUUUUACGAAGAGGUCGAGAUAACGCAUCGAAUUACAAUGUGACACGAAAUAGAGGAGCUCCUAUUGUGAGGGACGGAUGCAUUUCAAAGAAGCCCCUGGAAUACUCGUGUAUUUGGGUAGAAAGCUGUCCUGCUAAUAGCUUAGCGGGAAUUGACCAAGUAUCAGUGCGGGUAACACCAACCAAAUUGAAUACUGUGAUUCAUAAAUGCUGCUAACUGAAAUUAAUCCCUUAUAGAUCUGGAAUAGAGCGUUAUAUAUUCGAUAGAAACGGGGUAUUGUUUGUGUGGGCGAACAUAAACCAGCGCUGUUGUCGUUGCCUCUAUGCUCGUGGUGUGUAUACUACGGCGACAAUCAUUGUGAAUAUUCUGGAUCAAAUGAGGAACGCCAUACAAGAUCGACAAAUUGUGAUCGGUGGAACUCUGUAUGCGGUUUUUUUACAAAACAGCAUGCAUAAAAGAAAUUAAAUAAAGUAGAAGAAGAAAAAAAUUAAGAAACGAUGGCCCGCCGAAUCCACGACUGUUUCGACGUGUGCUGCGAUCCAAUACGAGGCGGCGUGUACAAUGUCGGCUGAAGGUGUGGCAUGCGAUUUCGCCCGAAGCUUUUCGUCCGGCCGAUACUACGACGAUGACGAGCACCGUGGAGAUGCGCGUCUUCUCAAAAUAUAGUGACCCGAUACAGGCAGCUCCUUCUUCGCAUUCAAUCCAUACCACAACGGGCUGGCCGGCUGGCUAUCUAGCUCAUUACAUCAAUCAAACCUGCUCUGUUAUGGAGUCUACGUACGAUCUAAGUACAAACGACCAGCAUAACCAAUGCGUAGAGUCUAUUCUAUGCAAGUUGAGUGUGAAACUCUGCUCCCGCCGAUUCGACCUAUUCCGACUGGCGCCACUGCUCACUAAUUCUCAAUUCCUCAGUCCAGAUCUUAAUUUAAAUGGGACGACGAUCUGUUGUUGCUCAGCCAUAGCUUCACGAAGGGUUCUUUUUAUUUCAAGACCUAUUUUGCCUGAGGGCUGAAUUCGCCAGAUGCAGCCAUCUCCAGAUCUGCAGUGCACGAAUAGGCAUAUUCAACUGACAUGACUGAAAAGGGCGAUCGUAUUUUCGUUGGAAGGCCGCAGCUCUGCUUGGAUGGGUUGUUGGAAACGAUGAGCUUUAACCGGGGGACCCACAAGACCCAUUCGAGAAAUAAAUUCGGCAAGCCAUGCUGUAAAAGCUUUUACAUUUUUGGGACUUUUAGCCAGCUGCCAGCCCAAAAUUUAAUUGCGUUGAAAUUUUUCAUAUAUGGCGCAUUCGAACGAUAGUUUAACGAUCUUAUAUCAAAUAUAUAUCACUUGACGCACGGUUACCAUUAAAAAGUUUUCUGCGGACUGAUGAAAGAAGAUUUUGAAAAUUACUAUGGGGUGGUUUAGCUUGUAAAUUAAGGCUAUUACCGUGGAAAAUAAUGGUUAUAUUGAAUAAACAUGGUCGCUAAAGGCUUUUAGUACAUGCAAACAUUGAAAAGUUGUUUUUGUUCUAAUAUGGCUACAGAUACAAGUGGUAAAAAAUUCUCACUUGCGACAUUAUUUCAGCCAUUUUGAACUGUUAAAUGCUGCGAUUGAUUUCAAGCGGCCUAUCUAAGAUGGCUUCCUUGCUGUAGCACGAAAAAGCAUGAAUGGAAAAAAGCUUUACGAAGGAUUACUUCAACACUGUGCGUUUGAUAAAAGAACGCCCGUUUUUACGCGGAGAGCCAAAUCGUCGAGUGUUUCAAGCUCUCAAUGCAGUAUAAAUUCGCUUUUGUCAAGACAUUUUGCUAGGCUACCUGUGGUGCGUAAAUUCCAAAGAGUGGCAUAAUACGUAAAAGACGGAUUUGGUUAGAACGUAUUUUUGUUUGGCGUGCUACUACUAUAUAAGGCCCCUAAUACACUUGCACAAAGAGAGUCAAUUAAUGAUGAUUGAGUAAAACUCAUCUUGGUGGUAGCGUCGGCUAUGUGCUGCCAGAUGAUUGACUGCAGUUAUCUCUGUGAAUAGGCAAGCCCAAGGAUCCAGCCUCUGGAUCACUAUAUUUAGUAUUUAUAAUUGUCUUAAUAAUUAUGUGAUUUACUAUUUAAUAAUGUUUUAUUUAAUAAUGAAAAGUUGAGUGAAGAAUUGUGUCCGGCGGCCACGUAGCGUACGGAGCCAAGCGCGCGCACCCCACCAUUGCUGCGGUAGUAUCCACAAAAACAGUAUGAUGAAUGCGCAAAAAUAAGCAUAUUGUCAAAUGUUGUAUCACAAAAUGUCCGACUAUAGUUUGAGAUUAAUCUAUGCUGGAAAAAGUGAUACUAGUUUAUACAAUAUAGGAAGUUACUAUUCUCAUCAGUUUAUUGUAUAUGAAGUCGGGCACAAAUAUCUAAAGGUUCUGACGAAGGCAUGCAAGCGCUGGCACAAUAUGUGGCAAGCGACAAAAAGCGAAGGCUCGUCUUUUUCGCUAACUGAGCUGUUGACGUGGUGUGUUUUUGCCUUAAUCUUGCUGAAAUAGAAUUUAACGGCAGGCAAAGGUAUGCAUUACCAUAUUCUCUAUAAGCGCAAAAUACGUUGUUCCAAGAAUUUCUAGGUUUACACGUUAAUAUUCUACACCUAUUACUGGUGACUUUUAAGUCUAGAACUUUGGAAAAUAAGGUUUACCAAAGCAUAUUAUUGGGAGAAUGAGCACCUUUGGUUUCACUGAGUUUUUAAGCAUCAUUAAAUUACGUUUGUUAAGAAGAAGAAAUUAAGUUGAGUAAGGACAUUUACAAUCUGGAGAUAAGUUCAAAGACUAUUUACCACCAGUAAUACGUUCCGUUGAGCUCUAUCUGCUAGCAUGAUUAAGCAACCACAUUACCGUUGUUAUUCUCCAAGGGCGGGUAGUGUGAUGAUGACUGUUGAAGUGUUUAUAUUUAUGAAAAUAUUAAUAAACAUAACUGUUUUAUGUAUAUCUAAUCCAUGAUCACAAAUAUUAUAUUACCGAAAUACAUAUUAUAUAGAUAUUUUUAGCUAUCUAAAGCUU